rfam:Bacillus sp. X1(2014), complete genome.
CGGUGAGGCUUCCCUGUCCGUUAUCAAUGGGGGCACUCGGUCAUGCUGUGGGUCUUUCGUAGGAUCGACCUUAGACGGAAGUUUUUUAGGCAAUGCUGUGAGGGUGGGUUAGUGUCCA